AUAGUAAAUUUAACCUGACAAAUACACUCUCUCCAUAAUUCUAGAACACUCCAUCUUCCUCAUUAGCACGAAAUAGACACAAUAUUUUCAACACAAGAAUCAGUUCUUCGAUUUCUCUUCUUCCAUUUCGCUUUGGUUCUUCUGUCAGUUCUUUUUAUCUUUCCCGUCGUCUCUAUUUUUCUAUUUUUCAGCCUCCCCAUUCUCACUCUUGGUGUAGAUUAGGAAAAAUUAUCUACUUUGUCUCAAUUUCUUAGGUGUAGAUUAGGAAAAAUUCAAUGAGAAUACAGAAAAACUCUGUGAGCAAAAUUCUCGAAGAAUAAGUUGCAUACUUUUUUUUGAUGUGAUGAUGGGGCAAAGACAAACAAAGACGUGCUUUUAAGUUAUGAACACCAAAAAGCUCAAUUAUCUGAGCACCGGUGACGUAGAGAAGGAAGCAACAUGUGUUGAUCAAUCUGAAACCAUAGAAAAAAUUCAACCAUACAUGCCAUCAAAAGAGUUGUAAAAGUACUUGAAAUCGAGCUUCAUGAUGCAUCACGGGAUAAACAACUGCUUCAAUCACAACAGCUACCUAAAACAGCUAUACAUAGAGGCGUUGACUCUUGCAGCAUUCAGAAAAUACAUUGUCUUUGUCUGAAGUUGAGAGUCAUGACAAAAACGAAAGUGUUCUUCCAACUUCUGAUCCUUAGUUAGCCAAAUGAAAAUCAUAAGUUAAAUUUUCACGUAAUGUUGCUUCUGUGUAUAUAGGUAUACCUUCAUUCAUAAAUUGAUUUACUGUCAUUUAUAUAUUUCUCUACUAUCAUUUUGUAGGACAUGCUUCUGCGGCUACAAAAACAACUGCUUACACCUCUUAUCUUUGGAUUAGAGGUGUUUCUUUGUUGGUGGAGGCUGUAUCGAUGGGUGAUGCAGAAGCUCUAUUUGAAUUAGAUUGUCGUUUAAGAGUUGAGGUGUGAUUUUCUUUAUGUAGUUUUUUUCAAGAAUGACUAUCCUAUACCACCUACCAUUCAUGCAUUUAAUUAAUCUCUCUUUUUCGAAGUUCUGUAGCAUUUCUAGCUACUUGUUUAAUUUGCUUGGUAAAAGAUAUGACUGGUCCACUGGAGUUUAUAUUGCACAAUCAGUGUUCCAUCACUUCUGAAUUCAUAUGGGUUCAUUAUACUCUGUUAUAAUUACAAAAGUUAAGAUUGAGCCAGUUGUGGCCGGUCUUAGAGGUAAAAGAUAAACAAGGAGGAGCUCUUUCUACACUCUGUUUGUUUAUUAUUUAACCCUGAAAAUCAACUCAAUAGCAUUGGAAAAGAGGUCCAGAGUCCUGUACUUGCUACUUCUGUAGCAAUUAUCUGGUCUAUAACAUAGGUAUGAGUGUGUGUUGCAAUUGCUAGAACAUUGUUGGUCUUUCUUUUCCAUUAUUGGAAAAAUAAUAUUGUACGUGCGAAUCACAGUAAGUUUAGAAUAGUUAUCCAUUUAAGCAUUGAAGCAGUUGCCAGUGAUUUCAAUGGUAGCCGUGCUCUCUCAAGUCUAGAUGUAGAAGGUUGCAGGGAAGAAAGAAUGCUUAGGUUGGGUAGCUUGCCAAAAUUACUUCAACAAACAAAAGACGAUAUCCUGAUAAAGAGCCUAACAAUCGCAUAGGUGAAUGUUUCUUGGAAGUGGAAUAUGUGCAAGAUGAAUCACUUGGUACGAUUUUUAAUGUUCAUAAAAGCACGAAUGAGGAAUCGACAUCAUACUCAUUUGCUACUCCAGAAAAUCAUGACAUCUUAGAUGGACCAUUAUCAAAUCACCACUGUAGCCACUAAGGUAAUGGGCAAGCAACUAUUUGAAAAAUACAAAGCAACGAAAUAUUUCUGGCAAUGGACAAUAUUUGCAAUACCGCUAUGUGAUUUAUGUGUCCAUGGUGCAAAGUACGAACAGUGGUAGAAAUACAUUUUGUUGUUUAGACUCUACACAUUUGUGAAUGCAAUAUUAGACACAAAAAUGACAUCAAAAUUCACGUUGUUGGGCCCGUGCAUAGCACAGGCAAUACUUAUCUAGUAAUAGAAAUAAA